rnacentral:misc_RNA from 1 species
GAUGAAGAACGUAGCGAAAUGCGAUAAGUAAUGUGUAUUGCAGAAUUCAGUGAAUCAUCGAAUCUUUGAACGCACAUUGCGCCCGCUAGUAUUCUGGCGGGCAUGCCUGUCCGAGCGUCAUUUCAACCCUCAAGCCCCCGGGCUUGGUGUUGGGGAUCGGCGAGCCUCCGCGCCCGCCGUCCCCUAAAUCUAGUGGCGGUCUCGCUGUAGCUUCCUCUGCGUAGUAGCACACCUCGCACUGGGAAACAGCGCGGCCACGCCGUUAAACCCCCAACUUCUGAACGUUUGACCUCGGAUCAGGUAGGAAUACCCGCUGAACUUAAGCAUAUCAAUAAGCGGAGGA